GACGAACGCUGGCGGCGUGCUUAACACAUGCAAGUCGAACGGAAAGGCCCUGCUUUUGUGGGGUGCUCGAGUGGCGAACGGGUGAGUAACACGUGAGUAACCUGCCCUUGACUUUGGGAUAACUUCAGGAAACUGGGGCUAAUACCGGAUAGGAGCUCCUGCUGCAUGGUGGGGGUUGGAAAGUUUCGGCGGUUGGGGAUGGACUCGCGGCUUAUCAGCUUGUUGGUGGGGUAGUGGCUUACCAAGGCUUUGACGGGUAGCCGGCCUGAGAGGGUGACCGGGCAGCAUGGGGCCAUAGUGCGGCCCGGGCGGCUGCGGGAGGCAGCAGUGGGGAGUAUUGCACCACGGGCGGCGGCCUGAUGCAGCAUCGCCGCGUGCGGGAUGACGGCCUGCGGGUUGUAAACCGCUUUCGCCUGGGACGAAGCGUGAGUGCCGGUGAUGGGUAAAGAAGCACCGCCUAACUACGUG
rnacentral:rRNA from 1 species